CAGAUCUUCUUGACUCCAGGCCCAGCACUCCAUCUACGGCUCCACAAGUUGCUUCCAAGGCAAGUUAAAUCACUACCAAGACCUUAAUUACAAUUUCCCUAUUGAUCCCAAUUGGAACAGCCCAGUACCCUGAACCAAAGGGCUAUUUGAAGAGUAAAUUGACCUCUGCUAUUAUCCUAUGGAAAUGUAACCUGGAAACUACUUCUGCACUAGCCAAAGCCACAGAUACUGAAGACCCAAAAAGCCCCUGGUAGUCUGGUUUCUGAUUCUACCUCUUCUCUGGGACUGGUUUGGAAUUGGAAUGUAUGUUAGAGAUCUUCAAGAUUAAUCCUUUUAUUUUAGAGGUCCUCUAUAAUUUGGAUCCAACAUGGAUGAUUUUACAUAAGAAGAUGUGCAGAGAGCAACUAUCCUGA
rnacentral:lncRNA from 1 species